rnacentral:lncRNA from 1 species
GGGGAUUUGACCUCUAAGAGCUUUGAACAGAGUCUUGGCUAUAUCGGAGUCAUCAACCAGUUGGGCUGUAUCCUGAUGAAGUAAGGCCAGCAGAUCUUCCAGCUUUGCUCUGAUUUCUGCUGAUGAAAUUCCGAUUGCUUGAGAAGAGCUUGCUUCCUUGCCUUCAUCGUCAGAAAUUUCGAUGGCAAAGGAGAAUAGGCUAUCGGGAGAAUCUUGUUCCUGAAAAAAAAUAAAAU